rnacentral:rRNA from 1 species
UAGGGAAUCUUCGGCAAUGGGGGCAACCCUGACCGAGCAACGCCGCGUGAGUGAAGAAGGUUUUCGGAUCGUAAAGCUCUGUUGUAAGUCAAGAACGGGUGUGAGAGUGGAAAGUUCACACUGUGACGGUAGCUUACCAGAAAGGGACGGCUAACUACGUGCCAGCAGCCGCGGUAAUACGUAGGUCCCGAGCGUUGUCCGGAUUUAUUGGGCGUAAAGCGAGCGCAGGCGGUUUGAUAAGUCUGAAGUUAAAGGCUGUGGCUCAACCAUAGUUCGCUUUGGAAACUGUCAAACUUGAGUGCAGAAGGGGAGAGUGGAAUUCCAUGUGUAGCGGUGAAAUGCGUAGAUAUAUGGAGGAACACCGGUGGCGAAAGCGGCUCUCUGGUCUGUAACUGACGCUGAGGCUCGAAAGCGUGGGGAGCGAACAGGAUUAG